rnacentral:rRNA from 1 species
AGUGAACGCUGGCGGUAGGCCUAACACAUGCAAGUCGAACGGCAGCACAGUAAGAGCUUGCUCUUACGGGUGGCGAGUGGCGGACGGGUGAGGAAUACAUCGGAAUCUACUUUUUCGUGGGGGAUAACGUAGGGAAACUUACGCUAAUACCGCAUACGACCUACGGGUGAAAGCAGGGGAUCUUCGGACCUUGCGCGAUUGAAUGAGCCGAUGUCGGAUUAGCUAGUUGGCGUGGUAAAGGCCCACCAAGGCGACGAUCCGUAGCUGGUCUGAGAGGAUGAUCAGCCACACUGGAACUGAGACACGGUCCAGACUCCUACGGGAGGCAGCAGUGGGGAAUAUUGGACAAUGGGCGCAAGCCUGAUCCAGCCAUACCGCGUGGGUGAAGAAGGCCUUCGGGUUGUAAAGCCCUUUUGUUGGGAAAGAAAAGCAGCAGGUUAAUACCCCGCUGUUCUGACGGUACCCAAGGAAUAAGCACCGGCUAACUUCGUG